ensembl:lncRNA
UCGAAGGGUUCCAUAGUGGGUCGAAGGGUGCCAUAGUGGGUAGAGGGGUUCCAUAGUGGGUAGAGGGGUUCCAUACUGGGUAGAGGGGUUCCAUACUGGGUAGAGGGGUUCCAUACUGGGUAGAGGGGUUCCAUACUGGGUGGAGGGGUUCCAUAGUGGGUAGAGGGGUUCCAUAGUGGGUAGAGGGGUUCCAUACUGGGUCGAGGGGUUCCAUACUGGGUCGAGGGGUUCCAUACUGGGUAGAAGGGUUCCAUACUGGGUAGAGGGGUUCCAUACUGUGUCGAGGGGUUCCAUACUGGGUCGAGGGGUUCCAUACUGGGUAGAGGGGUUCCAUACUGUGUCGAGGGGUUCUAUACUGGGUAGAGGGGUUCCAUACUGGAUAUAGGGGUUCCCCACUAUAUGGUGUCAAGGAUGUUAUUAUAGUUCACAUGUCCACUGUACACCUUCAUAGGUAAUUGUCUAAGAGGUUUGUAGGGUGGGUG